GUUCCACAGAGACUGGGCUCGUAUAACGCCGCAGUACGGGGAGUAGGAAAAGGCCCUCUUAAAGAAAACGUAUUGAGCUGUAUGCAUGUUCCGUGUGCGAAUACAGGCGGUUAGAUGCGAUGCUGUCUGACACUGGAAAGAAUUGAAGGAGCUAAAGAUAAGGUUAUGGGAGAGAGCAGCAGGUAUGAAGAUGCUCUUGUCAGGAACUUUAUUUUGGGAGUGAGAGGAGGGGAGAAACAGGAGGGUGGGAGCUGAGAGGCUCAGACACGGAGCGGGUUAGGCUCUAGCAUCAGCUGAUGGCCGUUGCCCUCAUUCUGGGAGGAGAUGCCCCGUUCCUCAGCGUUCUGUUGGAGUGAGCGCACGAGGCAGCACCUUGCCGUUCCAGCACCCAGCUUCCUGCCCGUGGCAGCCUUAGAUACCGCAGUGACUGGAUUGUCACUUGGAGAGACGUCCAUUUUGAGCACCUUGGAGCGCCCACAUCAGUGCUGCUCUUUGGAUCAGCAGUGUGCUUUUGGAGCACAUCUCCCACACUGUGCUUGGACAUCUGGCACAGAGCAGCCUCACAGCCGCCCAUUUCAUGGCAUUCAGAUGACACCGGGCUGGAGGAAGGCUCCAGUGCAUAUUUUGACCUGAGCUUUCAACCAAAGUGCUGUCGUGCAAGCUGUUCUCAUCAGGAAAGCAGGCUGACCUACUCGAGAGAAUUCCUGCUCCUCUUCCACAAAGACUUGUCACAGAACACAGGGAGAAUGAAACAGUAACUACAGACAGGUGAAACUUUCCAAGGCAACUGACAACAGCAACUGAAGCACAAAUCUUAGCAAUGGUGAACUUCUAUUAUGGGACACAUACUUGAAUGAAGACCCAGGGCUUUUGAAAUGUGUUUUAGACAAUUUUUUAUUUAGAAGAUGGAGAAAUUAGUGGAAACACUAUUUAAAAUCUUGAUUAAUAAAAGAAAAUGGCUGAGAAUAUAAAGCUGGCAUGAUCAGUGGGAAAGGAGAGAGCAGUUACUGAAAGGCAUCAACAGAACAACAAACCUUCUAACAUAGAAGGCACAUGGGGAGAGAGCAUUAACAACCGACACGAACAAGAGUGUAAUGCAGCACUAAUGGCAGUGUUAAAAUAUACAAGCAGACUUUCCAGAUUGUGCAAAAAGUGGAAUCAAGCACAUAGUUAAGAAUUAGCACUGCAGAAUAACAUGGGCAGGCAGGAACAAAAUGAGAGGCGGAAUUAGUACCUGAGAAGGAUAUAGGAACACGUUACAUCUAUAUGCACAGGAAAUAAAAGCAAAACAAGUGAAAAUAUUGUUCACUGCUGAUAGAAAAAGAAGGCACACGCACACAGAAACCAGCACGUCAGUUUCUUCAGCCUUCAGAACUGCCUUGCAACCUGUUACUGAACCAAAUGUUUUUGGGAGGUGACAGCAACAAGUAGCAGCAGGAAAGAACCCAUUACAUUGAAGUGGUUACGUGGUUACACAGGUUGGCAGCACUUGGAAAACACACUCCAAAUUGUUCAGGAUGCCAGCCAGAGAACUUCUGAAAUUAUUGGCGUGUAGCUACAAAAAAAUAUUGUGGAAUUUGUGGGCUCUCCACUGAUUGACUAGAGGAAGGAGAAGAAAGGUGAACUUGUGAAUGGAAAACUGUUCAGAGUAAAUCCAAGGUUCCAGGAAAAUAAUAAACUAUUAAUGUGUA